UUAGGGUUGUUGGAGAGUCGUUUACUCCCGACGGCCAUCGAGUAUCCACAUAUAUCACACGGAAAUUUAAGGAAAGAGUCUGUAUAUCUGGGACUACAUGGAGACAUGUAGAUGCUGGAACUAAGGAUUUCUAUUAUCAAGAAUUUGUGAAAAAAUAUACAUGGGAGGAGGGGCAA